CUCUCUUCUUCCAUUUGAAGGAUAUCUCUGCAUCGUUACCAUAUUUUGGCUGCUUUUCAACAAAUAUCAGAUAGAUAUAUACAUGACUUAGAGGUAUUAGCUGCAUAUAUUAGCAGAAUCAUAAAUCUCAAGGAAAAGCAGUUGAAGCAUAUCUAUCCUUCUGCAAAGGCAAAGUUUGAUAUCGCAGAAGCUACGAAGGUUAAGACGAAGGUUAUGUCAACAGUAGCAACGAGAUGGCGGCAAUUUAAGUCCACAUUGACUAGCAAAUUUGUGUUUGCUAAGAGUGAAGGUCAACAAAUGCAGGAUGUUGUGACAAAAUAUGGACUAGAUCCUGAAGCGUGGAAACAAUUUGAAGAAACUCGGCUCACACAUAAC